UACGUAGGUGGCAAGCGUUGUCCGGAUUUACUGGGCGUAAAGAGCGCGCAGGCGGUCAGAUAAGUCGAAUGUGAAAGCCCCCGGCUCAACUGGGGAGGGUCAUUCGAUACUGUUCGACUCGAAGGCAGGAGAGGGAAGCGGAAUUCCCGGUGUAGUGGUGAAAUGCGUAGAUAUCGGGAGGAACACCAGUGGCGAAGGCGGCUUCCUGGCCAUGUCCUGACGCUCAGGGGCGAAAGCGUGGGGAGCAAACCGG
rnacentral:rRNA from 1 species